GAUGAACGCUGGCGGCGUGCUUAACACAUGCGAGUCGAACGGAAAGGCUCCUGCUUGCAGGGGUACUCGAGUGGCGAACGGGUGAGUAACACGUGGGUGAUCUGCCCUGCACUUCGGGAUAAGCCUGGGAAACUGGGUCUAAUACCGGAUAGGACGAUGGUUUGGAUGCCAUUGUGGAAAGUUUUUCGGUGUGGGAUGAGCUCGCGGCCUAUCAGCUUGUUGGUGGGGUAAUGGCCUACCAAGGCGUCGACGGGUAGCCGGCCUGAGAGGGUGUACGGCCACAUUGGGACUGAGAUACGGCCCAGACUCCUACGGGGGGCAGCAGUGGGGAAUAUUGCACAAUGGGCGCAAGCCUGAUGCAGCGACGCCGCGUGGGGGAUGACGGCCUUCGGGUUGUAAACUCCUUUCGCUAGGGACGAAGCGCAAGUGACGGUACCUGGAGAAGAAGCACCGGCUAACUACGUG
rnacentral:rRNA from 1 species